rnacentral:misc_RNA from 1 species
CCGUAUUCUGCUCACGAACGAUUGUGUUUUGAAAAAGACUCAAACUUUGUGUGGCUUAACGAAACUUUUGCCUACCUGGUCGUUAUUGGUUUCGAGUGCGUGUAGCAGAUGCUAGGAGACCCCGUCCGGGGGUCCUUCGCUGUUGUCUAUUUCUCCCCCGCUUUGUCCGGUCCCCGGGCGAUGAAGCUCUCUGCGAGGGAUAGAGCGAGGUUUGUCCAGUCUGUGGCGAGGUUAUCGAGGAAAGAAGCUUUUUUCAUGAACCUCGGUAUGUCAGUUUUUUUUUUUUUUUUGUGGUGUCGGUACGUACGACCCUUUGGUUUGCUCGCUCUGAGCAAUUCGUACAAGGGUACGUUCAAAGAGUUUCUUGACGGAGACGUCAACCCGCCGACUUACUACAUUUCCCCGGUCGUCUAACAAUUUUUUUUCCACACGAUCAAGGACACAUCUAGUUUGUUGCGAGCCGUCGUCUUUUCGACGGCCGUCUCACUUAAUUUGAAACGUUAACGUACGACCGUAGGCGUUGGAUCACUCGGCUCGUG